CCUACGGGUGGCAGCAGUGGGGAAUAUUGCACAAUGGGGGAAACCCUGAUGCAGCAACGCCGCGUGAGUGAAGAAGUAUUUCGGUACGUAAAGCUCUAUCAGCAGGGAAGAAGAUGACGGUACCUGAGUAAGAAGCCCCGGCUAACUACGUGCCAGCAGCCGCGGUAAUACGUAGGGGGCAAGCGUUAUCCGGAUUUACUGGGUGUAAAGGGAGCGUAGACGGCAGCGCAAGUCUGAAGUGAAAGCCCGGGGCUCAACCCCGGGACUGCUUUGGAAACUGUGUAGCUGGAGUGCUGGAGGGGCAAGCGGAAUUCCUAGUGUAGCGGUGAAAUGCGUAGAUAUUAGGAGGAACACCAGUGGCGAAGGCGGCUUGCUGGACAGUAACUGACGUUGAGGCUCGAAAGCGUGGGGAGCAAACAGGAUUAGAUACCCGAGUAGUC
rnacentral:rRNA from 1 species